rnacentral:lncRNA from 1 species
ACCGGGGCGGGCCACCGGACCCCUGAGCUUAGUAACCGGAAGAUUUGAGAAAGGCGCGCGGCGGGCAAGGAUCACAGAAAGAGUGGAGAACUGGUGCCACUCGGACACCUUAGCUCGCUGAGAGAAAUGGAGACGGCCUCCAGGACAUCUUAGGACCCUGGCUGAUUCCGAGAAUCACAAAUCACAUCUCUGAAAAAAGUGAGAAGUUCAUUCUUUCAUUCAGUGCAAAAAAUGUUUACCGAACACCUACUAUGUGCCAGACACAACUGAGAUGCUGGUGAUAUGAUGCAGACAAAGUAGGCUCAGAUCCCUGGCUGGGAAGAAUUCACGUACUAUUUA